AAAAGCGUAAUAGCUCACUGAUCGAGUCGUCCUGCGCGGAAGAUGUAACGGGGCUAAGCCAGUUACCGAAGCUGCGGAUGUGCAAUUUAUUGCACGUGGUAGGAGAGCGUUCUGUAGGCCUGUGAAGGUGUCUGGUAACGGAUGCUGGAGGUAUCAGAAGUGCGAAUGCUGACAUGAGUAGCGUUAAAGGGGGUGAAAAGCCCCCUCGCCGUAAGCGCAAGGUUUUCUACGCAACGUUCAUCGGCGUAGAGUGAGUCGGCCCCUAAGGCGAGGCAGAGAUGCGUAGCUGAUGGGAAACAGGUCAAUAUUCCUGUACCGAUGUGUAGUGCGAUGUGGGGACGGAGAAGGUUAGCUCAGCCAACUGUUGGAUAUGUUGGUUCAAGCCUGUAGUCGUGCCCGGUAGGCAAAUCCGCCGGGCUUAGAUGAGGGGUGAUGACGAGGCUGCUUGCAGCCGAAGUGAGUGAUACCCUGCUUCCAGGAAAAGCCACUAAGCUUCAGCUACACACGACCGUACCGCAAACCGACACUGGUGCGCGAGAUGAGUAUUCUAAGGCGCUUGAGAGAACUCAGGGGAAGGAACUCGGCAAAUUGAUACCGUAACUUCGGGAGAAGGUAUGCCCCAAGUAGGUGAACCUGUACAAGGCGAGCCCAAAGGGGUUGCAAAAAAUCGGUGGCUGCGACUGUUUAAUAAAAACACAGCACUCUGCAAACACGAAAGUGGACGUAUAGGGUGUGACGCCUGCCCGGUGCUGGAAGAUUAAAUGAUGGGGUGCAAGCUCUUGACUGAAGUCCCAGUAAACGGCGGCCGUAACGAUAACGGUCCUAAGGUAGCGAAAUUCCUUGUCGGGUAAGUUCCGACCUGCACGAAUGGCGUAACGAUGGCCACACUGUCUCCUCCUGAGACUCAGCGAAGUUGAAAUGUUUGUGAUGAUGCAAUCUCCCCGCGGAAAGACGGAAAGACCCCAUGAACCUUUACUGUAGCUUUGUAUUGGACUUUGAACAGAUCUGUGUAGGAUAGGUGGGAGGCUUUGAAGUGAGGUCGCUAGAUCUCAUGGAGCCAACGUUGAAAUACCACCCUGGUGUGUUUGAGGUUCUAACCUAGGUCCAUUAUCUGGAUCGGGGACAGUGCAUGGUAGGCAGUUUGACUGGGGCGGUCUCCUCCCAAAGCGUAACGGAGGAGUUCGAAGGUACGCUAGUUACGGUCGGACAUCGUGACGAUAGUGCAAUGGCAUAAGCGUGCUUAACUGCGAGACUGACAAGUCGAGCAGAUGCGAAAGCAGGACAUAGUGAUCCGGUAGUUCUGUAUGGAAGGGCCAUCGCUCAACGGAUAAAAGGUACUCUGGGGAUAACAGGCUGAUACCGCCCAAGAGUUCAUAUCGACGGCGGUGUUUGGCACCUCGAUGUCGGCUCAUCUCAUCCUGGGGCUGUAGCCGGUCCCAAGGGUAUGGCUGUUCGCCAUUUAA
rnacentral:rRNA from 1 species